UGGGGAAUUUUGGACAAUGGGCGAAAGCCUGAUCCAGCAAUGCCGCGUGUGUGAAGAAGGCCUUCGGGUUAUAAAGCACUUUUGUCCGGAAAGAAAUCCUUGGCUCUAAUACAGUCGGGGGAUGACGGUACCGGAAGAAUAAGCACCGGCUAACUACGUGCCAGCAGCCGCGGUAAUACGUAGGGUGCAAGCGUUAAUCGGAAUUACUGGGCGUAAAGCGUGCGCAGGCGGUUUGCUAAGACCGAUGUGAAAUCCCCGGGCUCAACCUGGGAACUGCAUUGGUGACUGGCAGGCUAGAGUAUGGCAGAGGGGGGUAGAAUUCCACGUGUAGCAGUGAAAUGCGUAGAGAUGUGGAGGAAUACCGAUGGCGAAGGCAGCCCCCUGGGCCAAUACUGACGCUCAUGCACGAAAGCGUGGGGAGCAAACAGGAUUAGAUACCCUGGUAGUCCACGCCCUAAACGAUGUCAACUAGUUGUGGGAUUCAUUCCUUAGUAACGUAGCUAACGCGUGAAGUUGACCGCCUGGGGAGUACGGUCGCAAGAUUAAAACUUAAAGGAAUUGACGGGGUCAUAGCUGUUUCCU
rnacentral:rRNA from 1 species